rnacentral:rRNA from 1 species
UACGUAGGGUGCGAGCGUUAAUCGGAAUCACUGGGCGUAAAAGCGCGUGUAGGCGGCCCGCUAAGUCUGAUGUGAAAGCCCGAGGCUCACCCUCGGAAGUGCAUUGGAAACUGGCGGACUGGAGUCCCGGAGAGGAGGGUGGAAGUCCUGGUGUAGCGGUGAAAUGCGUAGAUAUCAGGAGGAACACCGGUGGCGAAGGCGGCCCUCUGGACGGUGACUGACGCUGAGACGCGAAAGCGUGGGGAGCAAACAGG